UACGGGGGGGGGCAAGCGUUGUUCGGAAUUACUGGGCGUAAAGGGCUCGUAGGCGGCCAACUAAGUCAUACGUGAAAUCCCUCGGCUUAACCGGGGAACUGCGUCUGAUACUGGAUGGCUUGAGUUCGGGAGAGGGAUGCGGAAUUCCAGGUGUAGCGGUGAAAUGCGUAGAUAUCUGGAGGAACACCGGUGGCGAAGGCGGCAUCCUGGACCGAUACUGACGCUGAGGAGCGAAAGCCAGGGGAGCAAAACGGG
rnacentral:rRNA from 1 species